rnacentral:tRNA from 1 species
AAUCAAUGAACUUGAAUAAGUUUUUGCUUUGAAAGCAAAUUAAAGAAAUUUUACCUUUCUAUUGAUUU